rnacentral:rRNA from 1 species
UACGUAGGGUGCGAGCGUUAAUCGGAAUUACUGGGCGUAAAGCGUGCGCAGGCGGUUAUUUAAGACAGAUGUGAAAUCCCCGGGCUCAACCUGGGAACUGCGUUUGUGACUGGAUAGCUUGAGUAUGGCAGAGGGGGGUGGAAUUCCACGUGUAGCAGUGAAAUGCGUAGAGAUGUGGAGGAACACCGAUGGCGAAGGCAGCCCCCUGGGUCAAUACUGACGCUCAGGCACGAAAGCGUGGGGAGCAAACAGG